UACGUAGGGGGCUAGCGUUGCUCGGAAUCACUGGGCGUAAAGCGCACGUAGGCGGCGUCUUAAGUCAGGGGUGAAAUCCUGGAGCUCAACUCCAGAACUGCCUUUGAUACUGAGAUGCUUGAGUCCGGGAGAGGUGAGUGGAACUGCGAGUGUAGAGGUGAAAUUCGUAGAUAUUCGCAAGAACACCAGUGGCGAAGGCGGCUCACUGGCCCGGUACUGACGCUGAGGUGCGAAAGCGUGGGGAGCAAACAGG
rnacentral:rRNA from 1 species